GGAGAGAGACAUUCUUAAGACUGCCUUCGUGGAUCACUCUCACAUACAUAAAGAGGGUCGACUUUAUUGCGCGCAGGAGGCAGAGAAGAGGAGGGAGGUGCAGAAUCAGGGACAAGUUCGCUUUUAUAUUUAUUUAUUUUUCGGGGGGGGAAAAAAAACGAGAAGUUUGAAGAGGGCAGCAGAGGGGAGGAGAGAAGGAGGGAGAGAGAGAGAGAGAGAGAGAGAGAGAGAGAGAAUGGGGAAGGAGGAGAACGACUAGAAGAGAGGCGCAGAGAGACGGACGGAUGGAGGAGAAGCGUGCAGCGGCGAGCAGGAGAAACAAAGCGUGCUGACUGAGGACGUGUGCGCGGGCCAUGUGCUCAGGUACGUCCCGUUGACUUCCACUCUCUCUGCAAUGAGUCUUUCUCACGGCUUCUGUCUCCUUCUACGUAGACCAAAGAAUCCACCAACGAGGAGCUCCACACUCGAGGAAGCUGGCUGCAGGUCGGGCGUUUUUUUUCACCACGAGUCCGACCGAAUGCAGAUCUCCGGGGGAUGAAGGUGUCGGCGACGGCGUUUUGUCGAGGCGCCCGUGAGCGACGUGCUCCUCUGAAACCUCUCGUUCACGGGCCCGCCACUCUGGGGGAGCGGCGCGAAAGGUCGCCCGGCGACCGGGCCCGAGGGUCAGCGACUGGUUGGCCCGAUUCAUCACAGCUCAUCCCAGAGACGCCGCCGCACCACCAGAGACGCCAGCGUCCUCCUAAGGUGACGGCCGCUAUUUUCUUUCAGAAAAAAAGCAUUUGUAAAGAAAGCAAAGUGAGACUAGAACAUGGGGAGGGAGUCGUUGUGGAUUUCCCACAGCAACAAGAAACUCGAGUCAAGCGACCGGCUGCUCACACUGAUCAAUGCGGUCAUGGGGCCUCAGGUAUGCAGACCUCUUCACCUGCAUCGUAGGUCAUUAAGGUCAUGUGACAGGCGUGGCCGCCGGCGGCUAGCGCCUCGGGGGGGUUAAAGGGAAAGAAUAACAGGAAUCUGCGAUAACGCUGCCGCUUAGGAGAUGUUCGUCAGCAGAUAAUCUCCCGUGUCCUUCCCUUUCCCCCGGGCGCAUUUUCUUGCUUGGUCUCCUCCUCUCGCCCGGUUCCUCUGUCCUCCUCCUCCUCCUCAUCCUUUUUCUCUCCUCCUCCCAGUCUCACUGCGCCCUCUUCUGCACGUGUUAAUAACGGGGGUCUAUUUGUUCUUUCUCCCACAGGCGGACCCCCCCCCGCCCCCUCCUGCCGAGGAGAACCGGCCGGCCUUUGGCGGUUCACGGCUGCGUGGCUCCUGCCGGUUGCUCAGUAGGCAGUGUAGAUCCUGUGUAGCAAUCAGCAGCUACAUCUGGCUACUGGGUCUCCGGCGGCUCGGCCCACUUCCCCGGUUCCCAUUGGCCCGGUGGCACAUUCCAAUCCCCUCGAUUGGCUGCGGGGUCGGGGAGGAUGAGGGCGUGGAGGGGGGGGGCUUCAUCCUGCGACCCCACAGACAGGAUGUUCUCUGUGUCACAACUCUACAAGGGGCCCUUGUCGAGGCUUUUUGUGUCGCUGUGGUGUUGUGUGUGUGUUUUUUUUUUUAACUCCUUCCUCUAUCGCCAUUCUUUUAAUUCUCUCCCUCCCUCCCGCUCGCUUUCUCUCCCGUUUGCUCUCCCUUCGUGCUCUUUGUGCACGAACAUUGGUGCAUGUCCUUGGUAAACGCUAUGAAAGUUCAACUUUCAAUGUUCCCGGGGACAGAAAUUUCAAGGGGCGAUUCUUGCCGGAGGAGAGUUUGAAAAGCCUCGGCGGUGAAGAGGUGCUCCUUUGCUCCGUCCUGAACCUGGCAUACAAUGUAGAUUUCUGUGUGGUUAAAUUCAACAGCUACAUUGUCUGCUGGGUUUCUGGCCAGUAACAUAAGCGGCGUUUAUGUAACUUCCGCACAAAAAAAAAAGGUAAGUAUUGAUUUGGUUUUUUUUCUGUCAAUGUGCCGCGAAUGCCCGACCCUGACAAUUCAAUAAAGAGGAAAUAUUUCUGAUUAAUCCUA